UUUUUAUUUGUUUCUGUGGACUCUGAGGACAAAGGUCAGGACCUCUCUAUGAAGGUGGCUUGCAGCUGACACUAAACCACGUCCAUGUUUGGUUCUGCCCUUCUCUAGGUCAUAGGAGCACCCAUGACAACACAGGAGUGGGUUCACUAGGUGGCCAGAGCCCUCCUGCACAGCCACAAUAUUCCGCAAGGGCAAAGACCACCUCUGUCACCUCGUAUAACAUUCGCUUGCUUCCUGGAGCCAUUUGCUUGUGCUCCAUGGUAACCUCAGCAGAGGCUCCUGGAGGUGACAGUUCUGGGAUGCAAAGAAGGGCAAAUGAAGCAGGGCAGCUAUUUGUCCAUACACAAAUGAAGUUGCAGAAAAAAGUCAGCCCUUUUAGUUGGUAAGAACAGGGCACUGAUUAGCAGCAAUAUAUUGAAACUAUAUAAAGCAAUGAGUUUAAAAGUACUUUAGGAAACCUGAGAUCUUCAAUCAAGGCUGCAACUGUAAGUUUUUUUAAAAGCCACAAAAGAAGCCAAGUCUUUAGUAAAAGGGCUGUUUUGAAACAUUAAAUUUUAUUUUAAUUUUUGUCCUAAUUUAUACCAAAUCUUCAAAGUAA
rnacentral:lncRNA from 1 species